CGAAACAUCUACUGGGGAUGGGGGGUGACGGAGGAGAGGGGCAUGGUGCUCCACGAGGCCGCGGCCGAGGCUGCCUCCUUCGUUCCGCCGAGGCUGGAGGACGCUGGGCUCAAGGACUGCGCGCCCUUGGGGGGGAUUCCGUAAUGGAGGCCUUCGCCCGAGCCGCCGUCUCCCCAUUUCCCACCCGCAUCGGGGAGGACGGCAUCGACGAGGGCCACGCAGAGGCCCUCCGACGAAGACGACGGUGCAUUAGUCCUUGGCUGGGAGGCUUACGAUUUGGAAGGGUAGAAGAACGAGGAGGCUUCCGAUUUCUUCCGAUCUGGAAGAAAUAGAUACCGCCUGAUCUGGCUUCUAAUUCUGUUCGUCGAAAGGUGGAGUUGGUUUUUUAAAACAUGGUCAGGAGGGUGGAACAGCAUAACCAAAUGAGUUCUGAAAGCCUCUGCAAGUAUGAAGCACAGCGGCAAAAACAGCAGUUCAGAUUAUGAAUAGUUCUUGUUUGUCGGUGCGCCGUUACAGAUCUGUUCAAAGAAGUGUCUCACAAGGCUGCAGCUGUUUCUGGUUGUCAGGAUAAGAGGAGUAUGUACCUUUUCGCAUUGUGGAUAUGCCUUGUUACCCGAGCUACAGCCUCCAUCUUGGUCAUGUUCAUGAUACCAGAUAUCUGUCUACUUGUUUAUAUGAGCAGCCACAAGAAUUCAGGGGAUUGGACAACCCAAAAUAUGUGCUCAAGAACUUGGGACUUAAUGUAGAAACGAUGUUGCAUCAAAAUGUGCCACUUGAUGCAUUAUACCUCACCUGAGAAGACCGUCACAUGAAAUGAAAGAGCAACAGGCACAUAAAGCAUCGUGAUGAUGAUUCGAAGCCUUGACCUGAAGCAAGGAACUGGCAUUCGAGGCCAUCUGAUUACCUGGUUGGGUGUGUGUGAUUAAGGUGUGCGGUUAGAGGGACUGAAGCAUGACAAACAAACCAUGCUGCCUUAGCUGAGAUCAGAAACAGUGACUCCUAGGCAUAAUGUGAUAGGCAAUCGUGGGAGAAUUUCAUGGUGUGCUAUGGUCUUUGACUCUCUCUCUCUUUCUUUUUUUUUUUUGUGUGGUUUUUUGAUGUUUUCAAGUUUUUCUCAUAUGUAAUAUUCACAGGGUGUGCAUUGUCGACACUAAUUUUGCUUUUGACAUUGUUUUUAUAUUCUGUUUCUAUUUCGUAAAACUAAAACUCAGAAAUAUGGUAAGUUAAAUCAAUGUUGCUCCAAAGAUAGUUAAAACAAUUAUGUUUUGGUGUGUUAUAGGUUGGUUGUGGCAUUUGGCUGUCUUAGUAACUUGGACAAUCAGAUUCGUUUGGCUCUUGGAUAUGUUUGAGAGGUGUAUAAUUUUUUUAUUCUGUUCGACAAAGUUAUCAUGGAU